UUUGCCUCGUUUCUUGGAUCGUAACGAACUUUUUAUUUUCGGCGUUACUUUCUUGCAACGUUUCCAAACGCCUAUGCCCAAGGUCUUGUAUAUCUUGGAGUCUUCGGUUCAUCUCCUCGAAAUUUCAUUUCGGCACCCGGCGAAGACGACUCCGUCCUACCACCCCCCUCCCUAGCUCGUCUACCGGGAGGUCGGGGCAAAUCCAUUUCCCUCCUCCUCGUCAUCCUCGUUAAUAGGAUUGUUUAAAUUCAGGUUUCGAGCAUCGGAAGUGGGUGUUUCCGGAUCAACAGAAGAGGAUGUUUUGGAUUGUUUCACCUUGCGCCUACUACUAGACGUCAUGGUUGGUACGUUAGCCCACUUUGGACUUCUACGUAGAAGCUCCCAACACUGCAAGUAUGCGAAUGUCCCUCACGUCGAGUUGUACUCGUCCAACGCUUUUGUUAAUAUAUCCGCGUCGCUUUGACCGCUACCCCAAUUGUCCUUCAUACGUUGGUAGACAUGAUGUUUGUUCCAUUUACUAGUAUCGACAACCACAAUCGCAACGUUACUCUUGGUGCCGCUAUAAUAGGCAACGAAAUGACUGAAACUUAUAGUUGGUUGCUAAAAGUGUUUCGUGAGCAUUUGGCCGUGCCCCUCCGGUGAUUGUCACCGACCAAGACCCAGCCAUGAAGAAGGCUAUUGAAGAUACAUGGCCUGAGAGUAGACAUAGGCUAUGCAUGUGGCACAUCAUGGACAAGCUUACUGCUAAGGUGUUUAGUUGUUGGUGUUACAAUCUGCAAUAGUACAGAUUUCAAAAAGAGGUUGUGUGCCAUUGUGUGGACCG
rnacentral:lncRNA from 1 species